CUUGUGUUAAUUACCAACCAGACAGCAAGUUGCAGAAGAUGGACUUCACCAAUGAUGAAUUUAUAGACAUUGAUGACAAGUUGACAGCUGAAGAACAUGUAACAUUUCUAGAACAAAAGACCGCCCAUG